CCCUUAGAUGUUCUGGGCCGCACGCGCGCUACACUGAUGAAUUCAACGAGUUUACAACCUUGGCCGGAAGGCCUGGGUAAUCUUCUAAACGUUCAUCGUGAUGGGGAUAGAUUAUUGCAAUUUUUAAUCUUCAACGAGGAAUUCCUAGUAAACGCAAGUCAUCAGCUUGCAUUGAUUACGUCCCUGCCCUUUGUACACACCGCCCGUCGCACCUACCGAUUGAAUGGUCCGGUGAAAUCUCGGGACGGCGGCUUGGUCGCUUGCGUCCGACUGCUGAAACUUGAUUAAACCAUAUCAUUUAGAGGAAGGUGAAGUCGUAACA
rnacentral:rRNA from 1 species